rnacentral:lncRNA from 1 species
GCCCAGAGUGUGCAAGGGCAUCUGUAUCUAAGGAUGAGACCUGGGGUUGGAAAGAUAGGUAGAGGCCAGAUCACCAGGGGCCUAUGUGUUCUGCAAAAAUGUAGAUAUUCUCUUGGGAGUCCUGCUAAAGUGUAAUCCUCUGACCAGCAGUAUCAGCAUCACCUGGGAGCUGGUUAGACGCAUAGAGUCUCUGCCUUCCCCCACCCCCAAGUCUGUGUUGCAACAGGAUCCUCCAGGAGAUUCGUGUGCACAUCCAACUGUAAGAAGCUCUGAUCCAGACCACUGUUCCCCACCAUUUGGAAGAAUGGGGAUGUCUUCUUAACAUCAAAAUAUUUCUCAGCCAGUAUCCCA